rnacentral:rRNA from 1 species
CGGCACGGGUGGAGUAACACGUAUGCAAUCCACCUGUAACGAGGGGGGUAACCCGGAAGAAAAUCCGGACUAAUACCCCAUAAUAUGGGCGCUCCGCAUGGAGAGCCCAUUAAAGAGAGCAAUUUUGGUUACAGACGAGCAUGCGCUCCAUUAGCCAGUUGGCGGGGUAACGGCCCACCAAAGCGACGAUGGAUAGGGGUUCUGAGAGGAAGGUCCCCCACAUUGGAACUGAGACACGGUCCAA